CAGCCGCCGCGGUAAUACGGAGGAUCCGAGCGUUAUCCGGAUUUAUUGGGUUUAAAGGGUGCGUAGGCGGCCUGUUAAGUCAGGGGUGAAAGACGGUGGCUCAACCAUCGCAGUGCCCUUGAUACUGAUGGGCUUGAAUGUACUAGAGGUAGGCGGAAUGAGACAAGUAGCGGUGAAAUGCAUAGAUAUGUCUCAGAACACCGAUUGCGAAGGCAGCUUACUAUGGUACUAUUGACGCUGAGGCACGAAAGCGUGGGGAUCGAACAGGAUUAGAUACCCGUGUAGUCCCUGUCUCUUAUAC
rnacentral:rRNA from 1 species